GAACUCAUGUGUCUCUUCAAAUUGCAUAAAUUUUUCGCCUUUUAUUAAGGAUUUCCGUGGGGAGGAACAACAAGAGUCUAUCUCAAUUUUUUGAUGCUCUGCAAGCGGAGCU